AAGGAUCUUAGUCACUGUUACAAACACAGUGAUCAUGUUACAGUGAGUCAGACUGACCCUCUAUUGAAGGUCUGUUGCACUAGUGUUGCACCAGCUGCAGUUCCACUCAACGCCCCUAGGGGGAAACAGCAGCUCACAGCUUCACCUCUGGUCGGUGAACUUGAACUGAGCUGCAUGUAAACUCUUCUGAACUCUCUCAGUUUAUUUCAUGGUUCUCCAUCGGCCUCUGUAUUUAUAAAGAGCUUUUCUGGUCUGGACCAAGUUACAGUUUUAGUUUUUUUGGCCCUUCAUGAGUGAACUUUGACUUUAUUAAAACACAGAGAUCUUUUAAAAGAUGUUUUCUGAAAUGAAAAAGUCAGUGUAAUGGUUUGUUAGUUUCAUCUGCAGCAGAGGAAGAAGCUCCCAGAUCGUUUCAACACCAUAAGAACUCAGAUGUUGUACAACGAUACAACGAGUAACGUGAGGCUAACGUCCGUCUCCCUGUCUGUGGACAACUCGACCUCCGGACGUCUCCUGCAGCUCAGACUCAUGAUGGAAACUUCGUCUUCUCUCUGUUCAG